GUAACGGCGAGUGAAGCGGCAAGAGCUCAAAUUUGAAAGCUGGCUCCUUCGGGGUCCGCAUUGUAAUUUGUAGAGGAUGCUUCGGGAGCGGUCCCCAUCUAAGUGCCCUGGAACGGGACGUCAUAGAGGGUGAGAAUCCCGUAUGGGAUGGGGUGUCCGCGCCCGUGUGAAGCUCCUUCGACGAGUCGAGUUGUUUGGGAAUGCAGCUCUAAAUGGGUGGUAAAUUUCAUCUAAAGCUAAAUAUUGGCCGGAGACCGAUAGCGCACAAGUAGAGUGAUCGAAAGAUGAAAAGCACUUUGAAAAGAGAGUUAAAAAGCACGUGAAAUUGUUGAAAGGGAAGCGCUUGCGACCAGACUCGCUCGCGGGGUUCAGCCGGCAUUCGUGCCGGUGUACUUCCCCGCGGGCGGGCCAGCGUCGGUUUGGGCGGUCGGUCAAAGGCCCUCGGAAGGUAACGCCCCUAGGGGCGUCUUAUAGCCGAGGGUGCAAUGCGACCUGCCUAGACCGAGGAACGCGCUUCGGCUCGGACGCUGGCAUAAUGGUCGUAAACGACCCGUCUUGAAACACGGACCAAGGAGUCUAACAUCUACGCGAGUGUUCGGGUGUCAAACCCGUG
rnacentral:rRNA from 1 species